rnacentral:rRNA from 1 species
AAGGGGUGUAUUUAUUAGAUUAAAAACCAAUGCCCUUCGGGGCUCUCUGGUGAUUCAUAAUAACUUCUCGAAUCGCAUGGCCUUGUGCCGGCGAUGGUUCAUUCAAAUUUCUGCCCUAUCAACUUUCGAUGGCAGGGUCUUGGCCUGCCAUGGUUACAACGGGUAACNGGAGGGUUAGGGCUCGACCCCGGAGAAGGAGCCUGAGAAACGGCUACUACAUCCAAGGAAGGCAGCAGGCGCGCAAAUUACCCAAUCCCGAUUCGGGGAGGUAGUGACAAUAAAUACUGAUACAGGGCUCUUUUGGGUCUUGUAAUUGGAAUGAGUACAAUUUAAAUCCCUUAACGAGGAACAAUUGGAGGGCAAGUCUGGUGCCAGCAGCCGCGGUAAUUCCAGCUCCAAUAGCGUAUAUUAAAGUUGUUGCAGUUAAAAAGCUCGUAGUUGAACCUUGGGCCUGGCUGGCCGGUCCGCCUCACCGCGUGCACUGGUUCGGCCGGGCCUUUCCCUCUGGGGAACCUCAUGCCCUUCACUGGGUGUGAUGGGGAACCAGGACUUUUACA